GGGAGCUUGCUCCCUGAUAUCAGCGGCGGACGGGUGAGUAACACGUGGGUAACCUGCCUGUAAGACUGGGAUAACUCCGGGAAACCGGGGCUAAUACCGGAUAACUCAUUUCCUCGCAUGAGGAAAUGUUGAAAGGUGGCUUCUGCUACCACUUACCGAUGGGCCCGCGGCGCCUUUACUAGUUGGGGGGGGAACGGCUCCCCCAGGCCACGAUGCCUAGCCCACCUGGGAGGGUGGUCGGCCACCCUGGGACUGAAACCCCGCCCCAACUCCUACCGGAGGCAGCAGUAGGGAAUCUUUCGCCAUGGACGAAAGUCUGACGGAACCACCCCGCGUGAGUGAUGGAGGGUUUCCGAUCCUAAAGCUCUGGUGGUAAGGAAAAACCAGUGCCGGUCCAAUAGGGCGGCACCUUGGCGGUACCUAACCCAAAAGCCACGGCUUACUACGUGGCAGCAGCCGGCGUAAUACGUAGGUGGCAAGCGUUGUCCGGAAUUAUUGGGCGUAAAGCGCGCGCCGGGGGUUCCUUAAGUCUUAUGGGAAGCCCCCCGCUUCACCGUUGAGGGNCAUUGGAAACUGGGGAACUUGAGUGCCAAAGAAGGAAGGGAAUUUCCAGUGGUGCGGUGAAUGCGUAGAUUAUGGAGAACCCCGNGGCGAGGCGACUUUCUUGUCUGGUACUGACACCUGAAGCGCCAAAGCGUGGGGGCAACAGAAUAGAUACUCCUGAGUCCACGCGUAACCGAUGAGNCUAGUGUAGGGGCUCUAGUGCUGCAGCUACGCAUAAGCACUCGCUGGGAGUACUGUCGCAGACUGAUACUCUGAUAGUGAAAAGCCCCACGCGCUCAACCCGUGGGAAGGGGUCAUUGGAAAACUGGGGGAACCUUGAGGUGCAGAAAGAAGGAAAAGUGGAAUUCCCAAGUGUAGCGGUGAAAAUGCGAUAGAGAUUUUGGAGGAACACCCAGUGGCGAAAGGCGACUUUUCUGGUCUGUAACCUGACACUGAGGCGCGAAAAGCGUGGGGAGCAAACAGGAUUAGAUACCCUGGUAGUCCACGCCGUAAACCGAUGAGUGCUAAGUGUUAGGGGGUUUCCGCCCCUUAGUGCUGCAGCUAACGCAUUAAGCACUCCGCCUGGGGAGUACGGUCGCAAGACUGAAAACUCAAAGGAAUUUGACGGGGCCCCGCACAAGCGGUGGAGCAUGUGGUUUAAUUUCGAAGCAACGCGAAGAACCUUACCAGGUCUUGACAUCCUCUGACAACCCUAGAGAUAGGGCUUUCCCCUUCGGGGGACAGAGUGACAGGUGGUGCAUGGUUGUCGUCAGCUCGUGUCGUGAGAUGUUGGGUUAAGUCCCGCAACGAGCGCAACCCUUGAUCUUAGUUGCCAGCAUUCAGUUGGGCACUCUAAGAUGACUGCCGGUGACAAACCGGAGGAAGGUGGGGAUGACGUCAAAUCAUCAUGCCCCUUAUGACCUGGGCUACACACGUGCUACAAUGGACGGUACAAAGGGCAGCGAGACCGCGAGGUUUAGCCAAUCCCAUAAAACCGUUCUCAGUUCGGAUUGUAGGCUGCAACUCGCCUACAUGAAGCUGGAAUCGCUAGUAAUCGCGGAUCAGCAUGCCGCGGUGAAUACGUUCCCGGGCCUUGUACACACCGCCCGUCACCCCACGAGAGUUUGUAACACCCGAAGUCGUUGAGUUACGU
rnacentral:rRNA from 1 species